rnacentral:lncRNA from 1 species
CAAGUAGCUGGGACUACAGGCGCCCGUCACCACGCCGGGCUAAUUUUUUGUAUUUUUAGUAGAGACGGAGUUUCACCAUGUUAGCCAGGAUGGUCUCGAUCUUCUGACCUCGUGAUCCGCCCGCCUCGGCCUCCAAAGUGCUGGGAUCUGAAUUCAAUUUUGCAGGAAGCCAAAGAAAGUGAAAGGAUCCUAGCAAGUUUCCUGAACACAUCAACUUCAGGGUUAUGGCCCACCACAAGGGAUAUUCUCAAGGGUUGAGCAUUGGAUUCCUGUUAGCUACUGCCUACUCUUUUCACUUAAGAAGAAAUGUUUAUUUGUGAGAACAUUAUACAAGCCAUCUUUUCCUUUCAGCACCAUCUUCACACCACACAACUUCCAGGAUUAUCUCCUUCCAACCACCAGAGUCACAUCCUGCAGGGCAUUGACUCUCUGGAUCUGAAGAAGGCACCCAUCCCUGCUAAACUGUGAGUAUUGAAACCAGCUGCAGCAUCGUCUUCAGACUCAGGAGAAGCUGACAAUCAAAAUGAACUGCUUUUGUGAGACAUGGUGCCAGAAAUUAAAACUAUUAAAUCAUUAUUAAAUCCCUCUAGGACCAGGGACUAUUGGGAAAAUGAGAGCACAUGUGAUUCUAAGGGCUGAUUUUGAGGGAUAAAAUUAAUUCACAGUUUUUCUAUAAAUUAAACAUUAAUAUCAAAAGUACACUGAUGCAAGUCUAGCAUCUGAGCCUGUGUGUUGGAAUAACGGGGUUCUUUUGGAACAUUAAUCUCAUUUUUUUUUGUUUUAUUGAUCUUCUUUUCAAUAGAAAA